rnacentral:rRNA from 1 species
UGCAAGUCGAACGCUGAAGCACUCUGCUUGCAGAGUGCGGAUGAGUGGCGAACGGGUGAGUAACACGUGGGAAAUCUGCCUAGGAGUGGGGGAUAACAUUCGGAAACGGAUGCUAAUACCGCAUAUCUUUUUGAACCGCAUGGUUCUUAAACGAAAGACGGCUUCGGCUGUCGCUCUUAGAUGAUCCCGCGGCGUAUUAGUUAGUUGGUGGGGUAAAGGCCUACCAAGACCAUGAUACGUAGCCGACCUGAGAGGGUGAUCGGCCACACUGGGACUGAGACACGGCCCAGACUCCUACGGGAGGCAGCAGUAGGGAAUCUUCCACAAUGGGUGAAAACCUGAUGGAGCAAUGCCGCGUGAAUGAAGAAGGUCUUCGGAUCGUAAAGUUCUGUUAUUAGAGAAGAACAAGUCAAGGAGUAACUGUCUUGGCUUUGACGGUACCUAACCAGAAAGUCACGGCUAACUACGUGCCAGCAGCCGCGGUAAUACGUAGGUGACAAGCGUUGUCCGGAAUUAUUGGGCGUAAAGGGAGCGCAGGCGGUUGGAAUAGUCUGAUGUGAAAGCCCACGGCUUAACCGUGGAAGGUCAUUGGAAACUGUCCAACUUGAAUACAGAAGAGGUAAGUGGAAUUCCAAG